GAGUGAUAUGAGCAGAGGUCUGUGUUGAAAUGUUAAGUAAAGGAGUGAUAUGAGUAGAGAGGUCUGUGUUGAAAUGUUAAGUAAAGGAGUGAUAUGAAUAGAGAGGUCUGUGUUGAAAUGUUAAGUAAAGGAGUGAUAUGAAUAGAGAGGUCUGUGUUGAAAUGUUAAGUAAAGGAGUGAUAUGAAUAGAGAGGUCUGUGUUGAAAUGUUAAGUAAAGGAGUGAUAUGAAUAGAGAGGUCUGUGUUGAAAUGUUAAGUAAAGGAGUGAUAUGAGUAGAGAGGUCUGUGUUGAAAUGUUAAGUAAAGGAGUGAUAUGAGUAGAGAGGUCUGUGUUGAAAUGUUAAGUAAAGGAGUGAUAUGAGCAGAGGUCUGUGUUGAAAUGUUAAGUAAAGGAGUGAUAUGAGCAGAGGUCUGUGUUGAAAUGUUAAGUAAAGGAGUGAUAUGAGCAGAGGUCUGUGUUGAAAUGUUAAGUAAAGGAGUGAUAUGAGUAGAGAGGUCUGUGUUGAAAUGUUAAGUAAAGGAGUGAUAUGAGUAGAGAGGUCUGUGUUGAAAUGUUAAGUAAAGGAGUGAUAUGAAUAGAGAGGUCUGUGUUGAAAUGUUAAGUAAAGGAGUGAUAUGAGCAGAGGUCUGUGUUGAAAUGUUAAGUAAAGGAGUGAUAUGAGUAGAGAGGUCUGUGUUGAAAUGUUAAGUAAAGGAGUGAUAUGAGUAGAGAGGUCUGUGUUGAAAUGUUAAGUAAAGGAGUGAUAUGAAUAGAGAGGUCUGUGUUGAAAUGUUAAGUAAAGGAGUGAUAUGAAUAGAGAGGUCUGUGUUGAAAUGUUAAGUAAAGGAGUGAUAUGAGUAGAGAGGUCUGUGUUGAAAUGUUAAGUAAAGGAGUGAUAUGAGUAGAGAGGUCUGUGUUGAAAUGUUAAGUAAAGGAGUGAUAUGAGUAGAGAGGUCUGUGUUGAAAUGUUAAGUAAAGGAGUGAUAUGAGUAGAGAGGUCUGUGUUGAAAUGUUAAGUAAAGGAGUGAUAUGAGUAGAGAGGUCUGUGUUGAAAUGUUAAGUAAAGGAGUGAUAUGAGUAGAGAGGUCUGUGUUGAAAUGUUAAGUAAAGGAGUGAUAUGAGUAGAGAGGUCUGUGUUGAAAUGUUAAGUAAAGGAGUGAUAUGAGUAGAGAGGUCUGUGUUGAAAUGUUAAGUAAAGGAGUGAUAUGAAUAGAGAGGUCUGUGUUGAAAUGUUAAGUAAAGGAGUGAUAUGAAUAGAGAGGUCUGUGUUGAAAUGUUAAGUAAAGGAGUGAUAUGAAUAGAGAGGUCUGUGUUGAAAUGUUAAGUAAAGGAGUGAUAUGAGUAGAGAGGUCUGUGUUGAAAUGUUAAGUAAAGGAGUGAUAUGAGUAGAGGUCUGUGUUGAACUGUUAAGUAAAGGAGUGAUAUGAAUAGAGGUCUGUGUUGAAAUGUUAAGUAAAGGAGUGAUAUGAAUAGAGGUCUGUGUUGAAAUGUUAAGUAAAGGAGUGAUAUGAGCAGAAAGUUGUUGACAUGUUAAGUAAAGGAGUGAUAUGAAUAGAGGUCUGUGUUGAAAUGAUAAGUAAAGGAGUGAUAUGAGUAGAGAGGUCUGUGUUGAAAUGUUAAGUAAAGGAGUGAUAUGAGUAGAGAGGUCUGUGUUGAAAUGUUAAGUAAAGGAGUGAUAUGAAUAGAGGUCUGUGUUGAAAUGUUAAGUAAAGGAGUGAUAUGAAUAGAGGUCUGUGUUGAAAUG